rnacentral:rRNA from 1 species
AUUGAACGCUGGCGGCAGGCCUAACACAUGCAAGUCGAACGAGUGGCGGACGGGUGAGUAAUGUCUGGGAAACUGCCUGAUGGCGGGGGAUAACUACUGGAAACGGUAGCUAAUACCGCAUACCAUCAGAUGUGCCCAGAUGGGAGUAGCUUGUUGGUGGGGUAACGGCUCACCAAGGCGACGAUCCCUAGCUGGUCUGAGAGGCUGACCAGCCACACUGGAACUGAGACACGGUCCAGACUCCUACGGGAGGCAGCAGUGGGGAAUAUUGCACAAUGGGCGAAAGCCUGAUGCAGCCAUGCCGCGUGUGUGAAGAAGGCUUUCGGGUUGUAAAGUACUUUCGGCGGGGAGGCGUUACCCGAAGAAGAAGCAACGGCUAACUCCGUGCCAGCAGCCGCGGUAAUUC